rnacentral:tRNA from 1 species
GUCAAAAUAAUUUAACUGGUAAAACAAAUUCCUUGUAAGAUUUCAACAUUGGUUCAAUUCCAGUUUUCAGCA